UACGGGGGGGGUAAGCGUUGUUCGGAAUUACUGGGCGUAAAGGGCUCGUAGGCGGCCAACUAAGUCAGACGUGAAAUCCCUCAGCUUAACUGGGGAACUGCGUCUGAUACUGGAUGGCUUGGAUCCGGGAGAGGGAUGCGGAAUUCCCGGUGUAGCGGUGAAAUGCGCAGAUAUCGGGAGGAACACCAGUAGCGAAGGCGGCACUCUGGGCCGGUACUGACGCUGAGGAGCGAAAGCGUGGGGAGCGAACAGG
rnacentral:rRNA from 1 species